GACGAACGCUGGCGGCGUGCCUAAUACAUGCAAGUAGAACGCACAGUUUAUACCGUAGCUUGCUACACCAUAAACUGUGAGUUGCGAACGGGUGAGUAACGCGUAGGUAACCUGCCUGGUAGCGGGGGAUAACUAUUGGAAACGAUAGCUAAUACCGCAUAAUAUUGAUUAUUGCAUGAUAAUUGAUUGAAAGAUGCUAUUGCAUCACUACCAGAUGGACCUGCGUUGUAUUAGCUAGUAGGUGAGGUAACGGCUCACCUAGGCGACGAUACAUAGCCGACCUGAGAGGGUGAUCGGCCAAACUGGGACUGGGAAACGGCCCAGACUCCUACGGGAGGCAGCAGUAGGGAAUCUUCGGCAAUGGACGAAAGUCUGACCGAGCAACGCCGCGUGAGUGAAGAAGGUUUUCGGAUCGUAAAGCUCUGUUGUAAGAGAAGAACGGGUGUGAGAGUGGAAAGUUCACACUGUGACGGUAUCUUACCAGAAAGGGACGGCUAACUACGUG
rnacentral:rRNA from 1 species